CUGGUAUCUCAAAUUCAGCCUUAAGAAUAUACUCAACGGUCAAACUGUAAGAAAAGAUAGAUUAAGGAGGGCAUAAUCCUUGUUUAAAGUAGAGUGAAAAUUAAUUGCUAUGCAGUCUGAGACACAGAAAGGAACUUAUACCAAACAUUGGGGAACAAUGUCAGGUUCUGGAACAUUGCCAGUCUCUGAAAUUCCACUCUUCUAAAAGUUAAUGCAAAGGCUGUCUGCAAUGAUCACCCUCCAGGCCCUGUCUGAUACAGCACGGACUUGCAGGGUCUCACUGAAAAUGUCAUCCCGAGUCCUCUUCCUUCUCCUCCUUAUCUGGUUCAGGCAUUCCACAGAUGGUGAUGAUUUUAGCUGAUCUCACUCCUGAGGGUAACAAAGGCACAGAGAGAACAGCUGCUGCUGGUGUCCUGAAGCCACCCAGGCCUGUAUGCUGCUAGCCUGUGUACUGCAAUGGUGCCUGCCAAAGUUGUUGUUCACUAGAGCAGGAGAGUGUCCUACCGCCAAGGAAGAAAUAAGGCUGCCAUCCCUAGAAACCUCUGGGAGAGGAUUGCAGAGAACCUCCAUGAAAGUUUCAUUGAGACCUCUCAGGAGGAUUCAAGGGACAUCCCUGUGCACAUAAACUAACUGCUCUGCAUG